AGGCCAGACUCCUACGGGAGGCAGCAGUGGGGAAUAUUGGGCAAUGGGCGCAAGCCUGACCCAGCAACGCCGCGUGAAGGAAGAAGGCUUUCGGGUUGUAAACUUCUUUUCUGAGGGACGAAGAAAGUGACGGUACCUCAGGAAUAAGCCACGGCUAACUACGUGCCAGCAGCCGCGGUAAUACGUAGGUGGCAAGCGUUAUCCGGAUUUAUUGGGUGUAAAGGGCGUGUAGGCGGGAAAGCAAGUCAGAUGUGAAAACCACGGGCUCAACCUGUGGCCUGCAUUUGAAACUGUGUUUCUUGAGUACUGGAGAGGCAGACGGAAUUCCUAGUGUAGCGGUGAAGUGCGUAGAUAUUAGGAGGAACACCAGUGGCGAAGGCGGUCUGCUGGACAGCAACUGACGCUGAGGCGCGAAAGCGUGGGGAGCAAACAGGAUUAGAUACCCUGGUAACU
rnacentral:rRNA from 1 species